CUCCUGAACUGCUCGUGAUUCUCUCCCGUAUCGAGUCACACGGGUAGCUGUUGUCAUUAUCUCUGGAGAUAUUUUCUCCAGUUUCAUUUACAUAAAUCAGGAAAAAUGAGUUGACCGCAAAUUGACGAACGCCAUUGAUGAUUCUAUUCAUUUCAAAUUCCAGGAAACCCUCAUAGGUCUAUAUCUCACACUAUAUCAAAAAGGAAUCCUGAAUAACACAAAUCAUAUAAUGAAUUGGAACCCUUACCAGGGAAUGCAGAGGGGAGUGAAGUUAACUCCGAGAUUAUCCGACUUGCUGAUGGGGAAUUUGGCUGAUCGAGCAGCAGAGAGAACGAGAGCCCUGGAAUUCCACUCGGCUCCUUGCUAAGUCAUCAUAACUCAUAAGCUGUUCUUCCCCCUAUGGGCCACCAUUGAGCCCAUUUUCU
rnacentral:lncRNA from 1 species